rnacentral:rRNA from 1 species
UGCAAGUCGAGCGAACGGACGAGAAGCUUGCUUCUCUGAUGUUAGCGGCGGACGGGUGAGUAACACGUGGAUAACCUACCUAUAAGACUGGGAUAACUUCGGGAAACCGGAGCUAAUACCGGAUAAUAUUUUGAACCGCAUGGUUCAAAAGUGAAAGACGGUCUUGCUGUCACUUAUAGAUGGAUCCGCGCUGCAUUAGCUAGUUGGUAAGGUAACAGCUUACCAAGGCAACGAUGCAUAGCCGACCUGAGAGGGUGAUCGGCCACACUGGAACUGAGACACGGUCCAGACUCCUACGGGAGGCAGCAGUAGGGAAUCUUCCGCAAUGGGCGAAAGCCUGACGGAGCAACGCCGCGUGAGUGAUGAAGGUCUUCGGAUCGUAAAACUCUGUUAUUAGGGAAGAACAUAUGUGUAAGUAACUGUGCACAUCUUGACGGUACCUAAUCAGAAAGCCACGGCUAACUACGUGCCAGCAGCCGCGGUAAUACGUAGGUGGCAAGCGUUAUCCGGAAUUAUUGGGCGUAAAGCGCGCGUAGGCGGUUUUUUAAGUCUGAUGUGAAAGCCCACGGCUCAACCGUGGAGGGUCAUUGGAAACUGGAAAACUUGAGUGCAGAAGAGGAAAGUGGAAUUCCAUGUGUAGCGGUGAAAUGCGCAGAGAUAUGGAGGAACACCAGUGGCGAAGGCGACUUUCUGGUCUGUAACUGACGCUGAUGUGCGAAAGCGUGGGGAUCAAACAGGAUUAGAUACCCUGGUAGUCCACGCCGUAAACGAUGAGUGCUAAGUGUUAGGGGGUUUCCGCCCCUUAGUGCUGCAGCUAACGCAUUAAGCACUCCGCCUGGGGAGUACGACCGCAAGGUUGAAACUCAAAGGAAUUGACGGGGACCCGCACAAGCGGUGGAGCACGUGGUUUAAUUCGAAGCAACGCGAAGAACCUUACCAAAUCUUGACAUCCUUUGACAACUCUAGAGAUAGAGCUUUCCCCUUCGGGGGACAAAGUGACAGGUGGUGCAUGGUUGUCGUCAGCUCGUGUCGUGAGAUGUUGGGUUAAGUCCCGCAACGAGCGCAACCCUUAAGCUUAGUUGCCAUCAUUAAGUUGGGCACUCUAAGUUGACUGCCGGUGACAAACCGGAGGAAGGUGGGGAUGACGUCAAAUCAUCAUGCCCCUUAUGAUUUGGGCUACACACGUGCUACAAUGGACAAUACAAAGGGCAGCGAAACCGCGAGGUCAAGCAAAUCCCAUAAAGUUGUUCUCAGUUCGGAUUGUAGUCUGCAACUCGACUACAUGAAGCUGGAAUCGCUAGUAAUCGUAGAUCAGCAUGCUACGGUGAAUACGUUCCCGGGUCUUGUACACACCGCCCGUCACACCACGAGAGUUUGUAACACCCGAAGCCGGUGGAGUAACCUUUUAGGAGCUAGCCGUCGAA